rnacentral:rRNA from 1 species
AGAUUGAACGCUGGCGGCAUGCCUAACACAUGCAAGUCGAACGAGGUCCAUCCGGUGGCAACACUGGUGAAGACCGAGUGGCGAACGGGUGAGUAGCACGUGAGCAACCUGCCCCGAAGACUGGGAUAACACCGGGAAACCGGUGCUAAUACCAGAUGUCCCCACUGGACCGCAUGGUCCGAUGAGGAAAAGGGUUUCUGCUUCGGGAGGGGCUCGCGGCCUAUCAGCUUGAUGGUGAGGUAACGGCUCACCAUGGCGACGACGGGUAGCUGGUCUGAGAGGACGAUCAGCCACACUGGGACUGAGACACGGCCCAGACCUCUACGGGAGCAGC